UACGAAGGGUGCAAACGUUGCUCGGAAUUAUUGGGCGUAAAGCGCACGUAGGCGGCUUUGUAAGUUAGAGGUGAAAGCCCGGGGCUCAACUCCGGAACUGCCUUUAAGGCUGCAUCGCUUGAAUCCAGGAGAGGUGAGUGGAAUUCCGAGUGUAGAGGUGAAAUUCGUAGAUAUUCGGAAGAACACCAGUGGCGAAGGCGGCUCACUGGACUGGUAUUGACGCUGAGGUGCGAAAGCGUGGGGAGCAAACAGG
rnacentral:rRNA from 1 species